GGCUGCAAUUUAUGGAGAAAAGCACAUGAGCAGAGGCAGCCUGAGGUGCCAGAGCUGAGGCAAUGCGGCAGGUGCCUCCGCCGCUCAGAUGUGCUCUGUCUGCCUUGGCAGGUCCGGGGGAGCGCGCCGGAGCUGGGGGAGUGUUUUCCAAAUCCCCUACUUCAAGAAGGGAAAUCGGGGUCAUGCCACAUGCUCUGUGUGUCCACUGGUCUUCUUAAGAAGGUGAACCUAUCUCUGUCUGGAAGGUGAACCUAUCUCUGGUUGGAAUGAGACAUCCUUCUCAACAACAGAAGAUGUCUGAGCAGCAAGACAAGUUGAAGCCAUGCAGAGGAGUAAGGAUCCAAAACUUGGAAGAUGGUUAAGAAGCACCAUCAAUGGGAGGGCUUCACGACAGGCUUGGAAGUUUAGGCCAGGGCUGCUGCUCCAGUAUAGGAGUUCCAAACCUAAAGGCCAGAGCAAGCCAGAGAGAAAAUAACUGCAGGUCACGUGCAUUUAUGAGGUUGCUGAAGGGACGCCCGGGUGACUCAGUUGGUUAAGAG